UUUAUCGCCGCCUCCUUCAAUUUCCUUCCUCUUCGCAACCCUUGAGCUCAGCAAGCCCUUCUUCCCUCUCCGUAGCAAGCAAGGAGGAGCUCAAGGUUAUCCUAAAUUUCAGAAUGACAGCGAGCGCCAGCCGUGCGAACCGGCCGCCUGCCGGGCGCCUGGCGACGCAGCGAUGCCAUCGCGUGUCGCCGCACACGAAACGGCCAAGAUGCCUUGGACUAACUGUUACAGCACCCGCGCCACCAAUGCCAUGUUCUUCUUCUUCUUAGAAGGAAUCGAUCCUCCAAACAGAUCCCUAAUCCAUUGCUAAACUGGGUGGUUUUGAUGCGGAAAUCUGAAAGAAUGCCAUGAUUUUGAUCAUUCACUCACAAUCCCUAAUCAAGCGUGUUUAAAUGAAGCGCAGUCAUACAUCCUUGUUCACCGAUACCCCAGGAUCAGUGAUUCAACAUGUUGAUGGUGAAGAUAAAGAAUUUUUAUAUUAUGUAAGUAAUACACUUCUUUUCAUUUGCUUGUGGUCAAGGCCCCAUAAUUGUUGAUGCACUUAUGUUUUGAAUUUGCCUUUUCUAGAUUUUAACUCUUCACCUUGUUUGUUCACUAGCGGAACAAUGUCCGGCAUGAUGCGUCAUGAGUAACUCCACUCAUAUUUGCUGCAAUCAAGCUACUCUUUGUUUGAUACCUUAUUUCAAUAUAUUCUUUUAUUAGCUUUAACUCAUUCUUAGCUUAAUCCUGCAGAUUAGUAUUCUCUUGCUAGCUGUAAUUAGGCUUCAAUGAUUUUGAUCCAUCACUGAUGUUAUUCUGAUACUUGGUUAAAUUGAUUCAGCUAUCAUUACCAACAUAGCAGGUGGUUUUUAAGUUUAGCAUUGACUGGUUUGAUAGUGGAUGUUGUCUUGGCCUUCUUAUCCUAAAAGUCUUGCUCCUUCUAUCAAAAUAAGGGCAUAGUUACAAGUCUAGAUAACACAGAAUAAUAAUGCAACAAAACAAUACUCUUCUUGUUCUUUCUCCUUUAUCUUGUAGCAUCCAAUUUGUCGUAGGCGUAUAUUAAACUGAUCCUAUGCUGUAAUGGUUUAUUUGGAAUGUCAAAUAGUUAAAGAUUGUA